ACUCCUACGGGGAGGCAGCAGUGGGGGAAUAUUGCACAAUGGGGGAAACCCUGAUGCAGCCAUGCCGCGUGUGUGAAGAAGGCCUUCGGGUUGUAAAGCACUUUCAGUAGGGAGGAAGGUAGUGUAGUUAACACCUGCAUUAUUUGACGUUACCUACAGAAGAAGCACCGGCUAACUCCGUGCCAGCAGCCGCGGUAAUACGGAGGGGUGCGAGCGUUAAUCGGAAUUACUGGGGCGUAAAGCGCAUGCAGGCGGCCUGUUAAGUCAGAUGUGAAAGCCCGGGGGCUUAACCUCGGAAUUGCAUUUGAAACUAGGCAGGCUAGAGUCUGUAGAGGGGGUAGGAAUUUCAGGUGUAGCGGUGAAAUGCGUAGAGAUCUGAAGGAUACCAGUGGCGAAGGCGGCCCCCGUGGACCAAAGACUAGACGCUACAGAUGACGAAAGGCGUGGGGAGCGAAACAGGAUUAGAUACCCUGGUAG
rnacentral:rRNA from 1 species